GCCUGGGUGGCUCAGUCGGUUAAGUGUCUGACUUCAGCUCAGGUUCAUGGUUCGUGGGUUUGAGCCCCGCGUCAGGCU
rnacentral:tRNA from 1 species